GUUCAUUUCAGCCACACAUACACUAGAAUUGAACCAAUACAGGGAAGAUCAUUAUGUCCCCUGCACAAGGAUGACAUGUAAAUUAAUGAAUUUUUUCUGGAUCUG